UUUUUUUUUCACCCUUUUGUUCAAGGGAACCAGGAAUUUCAUACUCCCAGAUAAUCUGCGUUUGAGCAUAUUUCACGCUUAGAACAGCAACGUACCUCCAACCAUCAGCAAACACACAAUCCCACUUAAACCACUGACCUGGAGAUCUCCCUGUAUAGCUUACCUGUAUCACCUCCUCCAUUUCACUGUAGGACCAGGCAACUUACAUAUUUUAACUGCUUCAAAACUGCUGUAACCUAACAUCCCAAACUGUAGACUUAUAUAUCAUUUUCUCCAAAGAUACAUACACUAAAAAUAACAAAUGGGCAAGACAAUAUAUUUGAAUCAUUACUUUUGUUGAGUCAUCUGUUCACAACAGAUGAGGGUCUGGAAAAUAACCACAAUAAUAAUGACAGAUAAUAUAUUUAAGGAACAUAAAAUAUUACAUGAUAUUAAAGAGAAAACACUAAACUAUUUUCUUUCUUUUGACUUCUAACAAUGGGAGUGCACCUGCUAAAGUUAUUCAUUCUAAUUUGGUUAAACCAUUGCCAUUGUUAAGAAGGAACUGCUGGAGCACAGAAUUAAUGAUGGCAAUUACAAUUCCAAAAGCUAUAGAGAAAGGCAGUAAAUCAGACCAAACAGUACUAGAAAGAGAAGAGAAAUGGAAAAAAUAGAAGUAAUUGAGGAACACAAUACGCCAAAAUAAAAGAACAGGUCUUCAGAAAUGUUAGAAGAGUUCCUGUGGGAAAUACAAUGGGCAGAUUAAUUAAUUAGACACCCAAUGUAAUGUGAGUAAUAGGAAUAAAUGAACAGUAAGAUUCUAUCAUAGAAUCAUCAAAUCAUAGAAUGUUUUGGGUUGGAAGGGACCUUAAAGGUCAUCUUGUUCCAACCCCCUGCCAUAGGUAGGGACACUUUUCACUAGACCAGGUUGCUCAAAGCCCCAUCCAACCUGGCCUAUAUAUACAGGAAACGAAUACAAAAAUACAUGUACACUGAUAAACAUUUUUCCUUAAAAAUUUUAAACACUUCAGUUUUCAAUGGUAAAUAAAAAAUGUCACUGUGACAAAACAUUGUAUAGCACAAGAGGGGUAACAGAAAAAGAGAAUCUGUAGGUGGCAUUCAUGGUUAAAGAAUG
rnacentral:lncRNA from 1 species